rnacentral:rRNA from 1 species
AGAGCGAACGCUGGCGGCAGGCUUAACACAUGCAAGUCGAGCGCCCGUAGCAAUACGGGAGCGGCAGACGGGAGAGUAACACGUGGGAACGUACCCUUCAGUUCGGAAUAACCCAGGGAAACUUGGACUAAAUACCGAAUACGUCCGUAAGGAGAAAGAUUUAUCGCUGAAGGAUCGGCCCGCGUCUGAUUAGCUUGUUGGUGAGGUAACGGCUCACCAAGGCGACGAUCAGUAGCUGGUCUGAGAGGAUGAUCAGCCUCACUGGGACUGAGACACGGCCCAGACUCCUACGGGAGGCAGCAGUGGGAAUAUUGGACAAUGGGCGCAAGCCUGAUCCAGCCAUGCCGCGUGGAUGAUGAAGGCCCAGGGUUGUAAAGUCCUUUCGACGGGAAGAUAAUGACGGUACCCGUAGAAGAAGCCCGGCUAACUUCGUGCCAGCAGCCGC